rnacentral:tRNA from 1 species
GGAGAAUUCGCCUAGUGGUCUAUGGCGCACGCUUGGAAAGCGUGUUNNNUCACGAGUUCGAAUCUCGUAUUCUCCG